rnacentral:rRNA from 1 species
UAAGAGUUUKRWUUCAUGCUCAGGACGAACGCUGGCGGCGUGCCUAAUACAUGCAAGUCGAGCGGACAGAUGGGAGCUUGCUCCCUGAUGUUAGCGGCGGACGGGUGAGUAACACGUGGGUAACCUGCCUGUAAGACUGGGAUAACUCCGGGAAACCGGGGCUAAUACCGGAUGGUUGUUUGAACCGCAUGGUUCAAACAUAAAAGGUGGCUUCGGCUACCACUUACAGAUGGACCCGCGGCGCAUUAGCUAGUUGGUGAGGUAACGGCUCACCAAGGCAACGAUGCGUAGCCGACCUGAGAGGGUGAUCGGCCACACUGGGACUGAGACACGGCCCAGACUCCUACGGGAGGCAGCAGUAGGGAAUCUUCCGCAAUGGACGAAAGUCUGACGGAGCAACGCCGCGUGAGUGAUGAAGGUUUUCGGAUCGUAAAGCUCUGUUGUUAGGGAAGAACAAGUACCGUUCGAAUAGGGCGGUACCUUGACGGUACCUAACCAGAAAGCCACGGCUAACUACGUGCCAGCAGCCGCGGUAAUACGUAGGUGGCAAGCGUUGUCCGGAAUUAUUGGGCGUAAAGGGCUCGCAGGCGGUUUCUUAAGUCUGAUGUGAAAGCCCCCGGCUCAACCGGGGAGGGUCAUUGGAAACUGGGGAACUUGAGUGCAGAAGAGGAGAGUGGAAUUCCACGUGUAGCGGUGAAAUGCGUAGAGAUGUGGAGGAACACCAGUGGCGAAGGCGACUCUCUGGUCUGUAACUGACGCUGAGGAGCGAAAGCGUGGGGAGCGAACAGGAUUAGAUACCCUGGUAGUCCACGCCGUAAACGAWRAGUGSUAAGUGUUAGGGGGUUUCCGCCCCUUAGUGCUGCAGCUAACGCAUAAGGCACUUCCCCGC